rnacentral:rRNA from 1 species
CUUCCCUCGGGCGGGGGAGUAACCUUCCCGAAAGGAGGGCUAAUACCGCAUAAGACCACGGCUUCGCAAGGAGCAGCGGUAAAAGCAGGCCUCUAUACAUAAGCUUGCACCUGAGAAUGAGUCCGCGGCCCAUCAGCUAGUUGGCGGGGUAAUGGCCCACCAAGGCAAAGACGGGUAGCUGGUCUGAGAGGAUGAUCAGCCACACUGGAACUGAGACACGGUCCAG